UGUGAAAGUCCAAGGCUUAUAUGUGUAUUAUAUACAGCACCAACAUGUGGCCCAUGUAGGACUUUGAAGCCAAUUCUUGGUACGGUGAUAGAUGAAUUCGACCAUAAUGUACAUUUUGUUGAAAUUGAGAUUGAGGAAGAUCCGGAAGUAGCAGAAGCAGCUGGAAUUAUGGGUACACCAUGUGUUCAGUUCUUCAAAAAUAAGAAAAUGAUCAGAUGAGAAGGUUAAAGAUUCUAGUUUGCCUGAUGUCCUCAUUUUGUGGUUCAAUUUUGUUCUUCCCAAACAGGCUAGUUGAGUAAGGCCUUCAUUUUACACAAUAUUGUAGCUUGUAUUGAUCAACUAUAUUGUAGAUUACCAUACAUGCAGAGUUGUCAAUGCAUCGUUACGGAAUUUUAUUUUCCGAUCUUGUAUUUCCAUCCAUUGUAAUCUUAA